rnacentral:rRNA from 1 species
ACGCAGCCCAAAUUGGGUGGUAAAUUUCGUCCAAGGCUAAAUAUUUGUGAGAGACCGAUAGCAAACAAGUACCGCGAGGGAAAGAUGAAAAGGACUUUGAAAAGAGAGUCAAAGAGUGCUUGAAAUUGUUGGGAGGGAAGUGAAUGGGGGUUGGCAAUGUGCCUUGGUUGCAUGUGGAACGGCGGUAAGCCGGUUGAUUGAACGACUCGAGGUGCGGGUCGAAGUUGAUUAAGGUGGUGAUUGUCUCUGAGGUUGUUGAUACGACCUUUUGAAUAUGUUUUGCCCCAUUGAUCAUUAUAGGAGUGUGCCUUUUUAGCGUUGCAGUUUUGCAGCUGACACUCCAGGCGUCGGCUUGUGGGCUCCUCAUUUAACC